CUUGCCCCUAGAAGCAUUGCAUGUGUGGCUGCUAUGUCACAUGUACAUCAGUAGGUGGUAGAGAGGAGAGAGGCCAUUUCUACGCUCAGUGUUCUGACCUGUGAUUAGUUGUGAUUAGUAAUGACCAGUGAUU